ensembl:lncRNA
GUGAGUAUAGCGAUCAUCUAACUUAUCUGUAAUAUACCUGAGUGCUCCUUGGAUCAAAGCCUGGGGAACGCAAAGGAAAAGGCUGAAAAUUGACAAAGUGCAGCCAAAAAAAGGAAACUUUCAAAUGUAUACUGUAAGCACCACGGUAGUCCCCUUUGUGAGAAAGAGCUCCUACUUGAUUCCCUGGGAAUUACUUGAAGACAAACACAGUGAGAAUUACUUCGGAGAGAAUUUGAGGGGAAGCACACCAUGAGUAAGAGGAGCAGAUGCAUCUUGAGAGUUCAGAAUUCUUCCUGCCUCUAACUUUAUAUGCCCUUUACACAAUCUUCCACUAAUUCUUCUACACUGAUAGUCUAUAGAACCUAAUUACGCAAAGUUUUUUAAAAAUCCUUAUAUAAAAUGCAUAAUGCCUGAUAUCUGAGUCACAAGCACAGUUAAUGUAAUCUAACACAUAUUGCGGGAACCUACUGCACACAGAUAUUACCAAUUAGCACAUGAUUUUAACAAUCAACAUUCAUGCAAUUAAUAGAACACUUCAUAUUCCUUCUAAUUUUGAGCUCUGCAUGAGCAUAUGUUAUCAUGACGGAAUGUGGGAUCAUUUAUUUAUACUGGAAGCAAGGCUCCACACAGAAAGCUGAGAUGCUGAAAGUUAGCUUAGAAGGGAAAAGGGUUCAGUUUUGCAUUGAGAAAUAAAUACUUGCAGUCUGAUUUUUAAAAGUCAAGCUGCAUCCUUACCUUCUCCUUGAUUCUAAACUUCUGAAGGGGAAAAUGUGCUCUGAUUGCAGUCAGGGAACACAGCCGGCAGUGAAUCAACAAGCAGGUGAACACUUCUCCCUAGGACUGGAGAGCACAAUGUCAUCAAAAAGAAAUAACCAUAUUGUCAUGCUGUAUUACUUAGAUACUUCUGCAUUUAGAGAUUAUAGUAGCUGAACAUCUUGUUUUCCUUAGUAUGUUUUUUUUUUGGUCAUAUUUUACUGUGAUUAGGGGAGAAUUAUUAUUCUUAUAUGCCAGAUGAAGAACAAAGGUAUAAAGAGAUUAAGCCAUAUCCCCCGGGUAUUUAGGCACCCAUUGCCAUCAAAUUCCAUAGGAUUAAGGCAUUUAAUACCUUUAGGGUCUGGUCCCAUCUCCUUUCCUCACUGCAGAGGAAGGAGGGAGCUGAAUCCCUGUUCCUAGAGCCCUGGUAAUUGCCAGUCUACCCGACUUGUUUGGUGAGUCUGGGGUGCUAACAUAAGCAAAAAGCAAUAAAAACUUACUUUAAUAACUGAACUCAUAGAUGCAUUAUUAGCUCAUUAGGCAGAAAAGCUGUUUAGUACAGAGGUGUUUUUUUACACAUAGGUUGGAAAGAAUCACAGUGCUGGUGCUGCUGCAUUCCCAGUCUGUCACCGAGAACAACUUCAAAAUACAGAGGUUGCAUGAGACUUCCCUCCAGAACAUCCUCUUACUGCAAGAAGCUGAAGAAAAGUCUCACGUGUUCCCCACCAGUGAAAACAUUCCUGCAGGCUUCACACCCAUUGGCAGCUCACCCUGCGAGCUUCAACCAAGGGUGAUGCAUCUGACAGCAGAAGUGACCAUGCUGCACAGUGGCUGCUUGCUCCUCACCUGCCCAACGGGCAAGUGACAGCGUUGGGCCCAAAGCCUCUGGGACUUUGCUUCAGGAACUGCUCUAAGCCUCUGCCUCAGGAGGCUGUUGCUGCAGGGAAUUUUCCUCCAUCAGCAGGAACUGAAGCAGCUGCAAGAGCUGCAGAUGUAGACUCUAAAUCAUCGUGUCUUUCCCUCUUUCAGGACAAGCUCCUGAGAGAAUUUGGUUUACCACACAUCUGACGUGUGUUUAUGUGUUGCGGAAUGGGAGUAAUGCAAUGAUUCUCAGGGCAUAACUAUUGUGAAAAAAAUCAGAGGAGUUU